UUUUUAUUAAACCUAAUAUUUCAAAGUAGAAGUAAAAAGAAAAUCCAACCGCCACCUCAGGGUUGGACUGUCAGAACUCAGAGGCAAAGGUGGAAGCCAUGUCCAAAAGGGUUCUUUGCAAGUUCUUUGCACAUGGGGCAUGUCUGAAGGGGGAUCAUUGUGAGUUUUCACAUGAUUGGAACAAUCCUUCUAAUAAUGUAUGCACCUACUACCAAAAAGGAGCUUGUGCUUAUGGAAGCAGGUGUAGAUAUGAUCAUGUUAAACUGUCUCGAUCACAGCCUUCAGCUCAAUCUUCAGCACAACCUCAACAAUAUCUGCUUUCAAGUUCUGCACCUACCAAUGUGCCUCCUGGAAUGGGUGCACAUAAUGCAGAUGUUGUGCCAGGUAUUUCUACUGAGUAUUUAGCUUCAAGCAGACCUUAUGAUGCUUCCAGCCAACCAGCAUGGAACCAAAAGUCGGAGCUUCAAGAUGCAUUGGAGAUUGAUGACAUGAUUGAGUUAAACAGUGAUAAUCCAGCUGAUCGGUCAAUCUGUGCUUUUGCUGCUGCUGGUAAUUGUCCUCGGGGAGAAAAGUGUCCUCGUGUUCAUGGAGAUAUGUGUCCAACCUGCGGAAAGCAUUGCUUGCAUCCUUUCAGGGCUGAGGAAAGAGAGGAGCAUAUAAAAACAUGUGAGAACAAGCAAAAGCACCUUGAUUUAUUGAAGCGCAGUCAAGAAAUAGAAUGCAGUGUAUGCCUUGAACGUGUUCUUUCCAAGUCAACAGCAGCUGAGAGGAAGUUUGGGAUCCUUUCUGAGUGUGAUCAUCCGUUUUGCGUAUCGUGUAUAAGGAAUUGGCGUGGCAGUUCUUCCUCUGGGAUGGAUGUUAAUUCUGCACUGAGGGCUUGCCCCAUAUGCCGAAAGCUUUCAUAUUUUGUCAUUCCAAGUGUUAUUUGGUACUUCACAAAAGAAGAAAAGGAAGAAAUAGUUGACAACUACAAAAACAAACUCAGAUCUAUCGACUGCAAGCACUUUGACUUUGGGAAUGGGACUUGUCCAUUUGGGACUAGCUGUUUCUACAAGCAUCAACACCGUGAUGGUCGUCUGGAGGAAGUGGUACUACGCCAUCUUGGUUCUGAAGAUGGUAGCACAGUAAUCGCUAAAAAUAUCAGGCUCUCGGACUUCCUUAGGAAUUUGGAAAUUAGGUGAACAGUUUCUUUUAGUAAUUUCAAGAUGGGGUUAUGAUAUAAAUGAACAUUUCUUCAUGUCUCGAAAGCCAAUCAAUUCACUCAGAGGCAAUGCUUAUUUCAAUUGCUUAUCUGUUGCCUUCAGGAUGAUCAGCAAUUGCGAACAUUAUGUUAUAUACAAGAGUUCUUUAUAACACUUUAGUAAACUUCCCCUGGUGGAUAUUGGCUGCUGAGAUGGGCUUGGAUUUAACUGUUUGUGAGUGGGUAUACAAAAAAACAUAAAAGAAAGUUGAUUUAUUGCCGAUUACAGGUCCUGCUAAUGUCCAGGGUGAUAAUUCUUAAAAUGACCUCUUUUUCUUCUUCUUUGGUGAUACACAUUGUAUAUCUGAUCUUGGGAUAGAUUUUUCCUUUGUUAUUACUAUUUUAUUUGAAAGCCUUGUAUUUAAAAGUCUAAAAUAUUUGAUGAACAGGGAGUGAGAUAAAAGAUAUUAAAGGAGGGUAUA